UAAUACGGAGGGUGCAAGCGUUGUCCGGAUUUAUUGGGUUUAAAGGGUGCGUAGGUGGCUUAUUAAGUCAGUGUUUAAAGUCAACAGCUCAACUGUUGGAAUGGCAUUGAUACUGAUGAGCUUGAGUAAAGUUGAGGUAGACAGAAUUGAUGGUGUAGCGGUGAAAUGCAUAGAUAUCAUCAAGAAUACCGAUUGCGAAGGCAGUUUACUAAGCUUUAACUGACACUGAGGCACGAAAGUGUGGGGAUCAAACAGGAUUAGAUACCCUGGUAGUCCACACUGUAAACGAUGAUUACUCGAUGUUAGCGAUAUUACAGUUAGCGUCUUAGCGAAAGCGUUAAGUAAUCCACCUGGGGAGUACGACCGCAAGGUUG
rnacentral:rRNA from 1 species